rnacentral:rRNA from 1 species
AUUGAACGCUGGCGGCAGGCCUAACACAUGCAAGUCUAACGAGUGGCGGACGGGUUAUUAAUUUCUGGGAACCUGCCUGAUGUAGGGGGAUAACUACUGGAAACUGUAGCUAAUACCGCAUACCAUCAGAUGUGCCCCGAUGGGCUUAGCUAGUUGGUGGGGUAACGGCUCACCAAGGCGACGAUGCCUAGCUGGUCUGAGAGGAUGACCAGCCACAAUGGAACUGAGACACGGUCCAGACUCCUACGGGAGGCAGCAGUGGGGUAUAUUGCACAAUGGGCGCAAGCCUGAUGCAGCCAUGCCGCGUGUAUGAAGAAGGCCUUCGGGUUGUAAAGUACUUUCAGCGGGGAGGCGUUACCCGCAGAAGAAGCACCGGCUAACUCCGUGCCAGCAGCCGCGGUAAUUC